GGCCUCAUAGUCUAGUGGUCCAAGACGCCUCUUUGACGUGGAGGAGUCGGCAGUUCGAUUCUGCCUGGGGCCA
rnacentral:tRNA from 1 species